GUCAGCGCGUGACGGCGCGGGAGGAGCUGGUGCUGGGUGGAGGACGCGGUGUUUGGGCCGCGUGGGCUCACACGAGGUAGCUCGCGGCGUCCGGCCGCGCAGGCGCGCUCAAGAUGUCGUACAUGCUUCCGCAUCUGCACAAUGGCUGGCAGGUAGACCAGGCCAUCCUUUCGGAGGAGGACCGCGUGGUCGUCAUUCGUUUCGGACACGACUGGGACCCCACUUGCAUGAAGAUGGACGAGGUUCUGUACAGCAUCGCCGAAAAGAAAUGGAAGAUAGUGGGAGAUCUUCCUCAUCUUGUAUGAGUCCUGUUUGGAUAUCCCAGCUGUUUUAAAGCAAACGGUGCUGGUGUCGCUUGUGCUCUGAGGCAUCCUCUGUGAUUGUGUGGAGUCUGACAGGCCUGUCUGCCGCCAAUAUGAACAUCCGCCGGGCUCGGCCAGAUGACCUGAUGAACAUGCAGCACUGCAACCUGCUGUGCCUGCCCGAGAACUACCAGAUGAAGUACUACUUCUAUCAUGGCCUCUCUUGGCCCCAGCUCUCCUACAUUGCUGAGGACGAGGAUGGGAAGAUUGUGGGCUAUGUCCUGGCCAAGAUGGAGGAGGACCCCGAUGAUGUCCCUCACGGACACAUCACCUCGCUGGCUGUGAAACGCUCCCACCGGCGCCUCGGCCUGGCCCAGAAGCUCAUGGACCAGGCUUCCAGGGCCAUGAUUGAGAACUUCAGCGCUAAGUAUGUAUCCCUGCAUGUCAGGAAGAGCAACCGGGCGGCUCUGCACCUGUAUUCCAACACCCUGAACUUCCAGGUUAAAAAUUUUGCAGUUAUUUAUCUUGUGGAUAUUACAGAAGUGCCUGACUUCAACAAGAUGUACGAGCUGUAUGACCCCUGCACUGUCAUGUUCUUCUUCAGAAACAAACAUAUCAUGAUUGAUUUGGGCACUGGCAACAACAACAAGAUCAACUGGGCCAUGGAAGACAAGCAAGAAAUGGUUGACAUCAUAGAGACCGUGUACCGUGGCGCCCGCAAAGGCCGGGGUCUGGUGGUGUCUCCCAAGGACUAUUCUACCAAGUACAGAUACUGAGCCCUGCCCUCAGGCUGUGCAAAGGACACUGAGAGCCUCUUCCACAUAGAAAUACUCUGCUCUCGUAGCCUCUGGAAAGGCCCUGCAGCCCGACAUUGCUGUAGAGCUGGAGGAUCCGUGAGAUGAGGGCUACAGAGCCUUAGCUAGCUGGAGCAAAUAAACAUGGCGAGGGAGCAGUGGGGAUCUGCUGUGCUUACUGCGUGCAAAUGUCUUUACUCCCAGUGUUUGUCCCAGGAGGCUGUCUGGUUUUGCAUCUUCGAGCGGUUGCCAGAGCUGUCAAGCAAACUACCCCAGACAUUUUAGCUGGACAGUUCUCGAGGUGUGAGCCUGAGGCGGCUGGGUUCUGGAUUCCAUUUGAGGCUGUGGGCCAUCUGCAGCAGCCCCUUGGUUCUGGAGGUUGUUGGCCAUCCUUGGUAAACCUUGGAUUGGGCACACGUUAUCCCAGUCUUUGCCGUUUUCCUUACAAGUCAUGUGUAUCAUGUGUAUGUCAAUCUCAAAACAUACCCUACUUACAAACACCAGUUACCUUGCCUGGGGCCACCUCACCUCUGUACAGCCUCAUCUUAACCGAUUACGUAUGAUAGUCACUCCAAAUGAGGUCAUGGUCUGAGAUUCUGGGCUUAAACCAUCAACAUAUUAAUUUGGGGUGACAUAACCCAUAAGAAUACCCAGUCUUAAUCUCUCUCAGCAUAUAAAACAGCACUGUGAUCCAGGUAGGAUUCACUCCUGCUGCUGGCUGAGGCCAGGCAGCCGAGCUCAAAACACAACUACGAAAAAGCAAUUGCCUGGCGGCGCUUCCCUUCCUCCACUCUUCCUCACAGCAUGUCUGUGUCCUGCUUCCUAAGGAAGCAGGGUCCUCAUUCCACCCAGCACAAGUCCCCUUAUCUACGUCAGCUUCCUCUUGUUUCUUCUCUUCCUGGCAAUGUGGAGGGACCCGGGUCUACCCUCUCAUCUCUAAACACAAACUCAGAAGAGAAAGAUGAGCAUACCAGGAGCCGACUCUGGACGAGCGCCUCAGUACCCCUGCCCCAUGCAUCUCCAUCGUACGCAGUGGCGAACACUCACUGGACGCCUGGUGGGUGGACAGUACCUUCUGUUGUUCACACACUGACCCAUUAGGAAAGCUCAGGAGUGAAGCAGAUGUCUGACCUACAAAUAAACGCACUCGUCAGAUGAACCAAAACAUGAGUCCUGGCUUGGGGUGCCGCUUGGUGAUAGAGGUAGUAUUCAGUUCCUAGCUUGCAAAAAGUCAGAUUCACAUGCAGAGCUGCAAUGUAACGCCUAGCACUAAUUUGCUCAUUAAAAGAAUAGUAGAAGCCGGACGUGGUGGCGCAUGCCUUUAAUCCCAGCACUCGGGAGGCAGAGGCAGGCGGAUUUCUGAGUUCGAGGCCAGCCUGGUCUACAAAGUGAGUUCCAGGACAGCCAGGGCUACACAGAGAUACCCUGUCUCGAAAAACCAAAAAAGAAAAAAAAAGAAUAGUAGAGCCAAACAUGGUGGUGCGUGCCUUUAAUUAACACCAGCACGUGGGAGGCAGAAGUAGGCAGAUCUCUGGUUUUGAGGCCAGUCUGCUGGUUAUCUGGCUUAUAUAGUGAGACACUGUCAGGGGGAAAAAAGUUUAGCUUUCCUCAUUGGCCAUUGGCUGGUCCCAUGUGGAGUUGCUCUUGAGUCCCCACAUAAGGGAAACUCAGUGUCUGGAGCCCUCAAGAAUGUCCUUAAAUCCGAUGUGACAGGAGAACACUGGUACAACCUUGCUCUGUACAUCUACUGAAGGAAAAGUAAUGUGUGUACAUCACUAAUGUGAGAGGACCUGCAUGUCUUAGUUAGGGUUUCAUUGCUGUGAAGAGACACCAUGACCAAGGCAACUCUGUAACAUUUACUUGGGGCUGGCUUACAAUUUCAGAGGUUCAGUCCAUUACCAGCAUGGCAGGAAGCAUGGCAGCGUGUUGGCAGGCAUGGUUCUGGAGAAGGAGCUGAGAGUUCUACAUCUAGAUCAGAAGUCAGCCAGGAUCAGACUCUCUCUGCAGGCAUCCAGGAGGAUGAGACAUCUGUAUUGGGUGGAACCUGAGCAUGGGAGCCUCAAGGCCCACCCCCACAGUGACGGACUUCCUCUAACAAGGGCACGCCUACCCCAACGAGGCCACACUUCCUAACUGUGCCACUUCCCCUGGGCCAGGCAUAUUCAAACCACCCCAUGGGGAAAGCUACUGCUAGCUGGUCGAGCUGAGUCGGCUUUAAGUUGACGCUGGUAUCAAUGUGGCCUGUGCUGAGGUUUGCUGCUGCCACUGAGCAGCUUCAUUCCUGGGACCUUCACUAACUUGAUCCAAGGAGCCUUCCAGGAACCACUUCUGGUGUCGAUCUGAUGGUGAUGGAUACCAGGGCUGACCGAAAGCUUCUUCCCAGAGGCGUUUCCUGUCAACCUGCCUACCAUUGCUCUGUGUAACAGAUUGUCUGCACAAGGUAGACAGAGCCAUUUUCAUGCAGGAAACGAGCUCCCUGGAGGGGUCUAGUGUGGCCUGUGAGCAAUGUGGGAGGCCAUGCCUGAUGUCUACAGAGAUCCUGAAGAUGGAGAAAGAAGAGGCUGCCCCAGAGAAGGCUGUGACCAAGGAGGAACUGCAGGAAGAAUGGACUGCGCCAGUGCCUGAGUUCGCUGCUGCUCAGGAAGGGGUUGGCAGACUGGUCUGAGUGGUCAGGUGCCCUUCCUGCCUGUCUGGCAGAGCCUUACUCAAGACUGGAGUGGCAGCCUCCGAGGGCUGGACUGCAGCUCCCACUGGCCAGCCACUGAAUGGAAACCAACAGCUACCAAGGUCACAGAAAGGUUAGCAACUGUGCGGUCUUAUUUUUAUGGGGGUAAAGCCCUGCAGAGUGAGAUCUCUUAAGACCCAGAGUCCACAGUGCUUGCAGUCUGGGAUAGUUACAGUCCAGAAAGGUGAGGGACCAGAUGGAGGGUCAGCCACAGUUGACCAUUGCUAGGGAUUAGAGCCAUGGCUCUCAACCUUCCUAAUGCUGUGACCCUUUAGUAGAGUUCUUCAAGAUGUGGUGACACCCAAGCAUAACAUUUUGUUACUACUUGUCCUGGCUGGUUUUGUGUGCCAACUUGACACAAGCUGGAGUUAUCAUCACAGAGAAAGGAGCUUCAGUUGGGGAAGUGCCUCCAUGAGAUCCAGCUGUGGGGCAUUUUCUCAGUUGGUGAUCAAGGGGGGAGGGCCCAUUGUAGGUGGUGCCAUCCCUGGGCUGGUAGUCUUGGGUUCUAUAAGAAAGCAAGCUGAGCAAGCCAGGGGAAACAAGCCAGUAAAGACCAUCCCUCCAUGGCCUCUGCAUCAGCUCUUGCUUCCUGACCUGCUUGAGUUCCAGGCCUGACUUUGAGAAAUUGGAGUCGUCCGAAGUUGCUGGUGAGGCUAUCUCGCAAAGUUCAAUAUGUUAUCAUAGCUGGCACUCCUAGGUAUAGACCCAAGAGAACAGCAAUGUAGAAGUGUAAGCUGAAUAAACCCUUUCCUCCCCAA